rnacentral:rRNA from 1 species
UACGUAGGGUGCGAGCGCUAAUCGGAAUUACUGGGCGUAAAGCGUGCGCAGGCGGUUUUGUAAGCCAGAUGUGAAAUCCCCGGGCUCAACCUGGGAAUGGCAUUUGGGACUGCAAGGCUUGAGUGCGGCAGAGGAGACUGGAAUUCCUGGUGUAGCAGUGAAAUGCGUAGAUAUCGAGAGGAACACCUGCGGCGAAGGCGGGUUGCUGGGCCGACACUGACGCUGAUGCGCGAAAGCCAGGGGAGCGAACGGG